GUCCACAAAUGAUCAGGUGCUUACUAUGUACCAGACACUGUGGAACACAUAGAUCGGUUUAAGAUGUGACAGAGACCACAUCUUAGGUAUCUUGGGUAUUCUCAGAAAUUAAAAACUUUUGGGGAUUAUUUCUGUAUUUUUCCUUUGAGUUCCUUUGAAGAUAAUAACUAUUCACAUGUUCUUGUUUAAUGAAUAAGCACAAACUAGGCCCUCUGUUAGUAAUGAAGAUAGUUAUUUCUUGUUCUCAAAAGAAUCUGUAGUUUAGAACAGCCAUUCUAACUGGAGGCAGUGCCCUUCCUCUCCCUAGAGAAAUAAACCCUAAGAUAUAAAUUAUAUAUAAAAGAUUACAAUCUCUCUGAUACGUCUAGAAUAAUACUAGCUAUAUACCUUAGGAGAAUUGAAAAAAAAUAUUCCAAUUCUUAAUUUGUGAUAAAGGCAUGUACAAAGGAAAGGCAUCUAACUCAGCCUGAGAAUGAAGGUUUUUAAUUUUUAAGAAAAUUUUGAAGAAGGUAAUCCCUGAGGUGUUUGAUGAGAGAUUUUACAAAUUAGGGCAGGGUGGAGAGGAUAUCUUGUGUGUGCAUUAGUCGCUCAGUCGUGUCCGACUCUUUGCGACCCCAUGGACUGCACAGCCCACCAGGGUCUUCUGUUCAUGGGAUUCUUCAGGCAAGGAUACUGAAGUGGGUUGCCAUUUCCUUCCCCAAGGAUAUCUUAGGGAGAAGAAAUACCCAGUACAAAGGCACAGAAGUAUAGAAAGAUCACAGUGUUCAGUGAUGGCAAAGAUUCCAUUUGCUUGGAGCAUAGAGUGCAAAGGCAGGUUUGUGGGCAUAGAGAAGGGAGAAAUUAGAGACAUCCCAUAGAUUUAGAACGCAAGAGUUUUUGUUUUACUUUAAGUCAAGUGAGAGAAUUUGAAGGAUUUUAAACAUUGGAGAAACAACAUUUUAUAAAAAUGACUCUUGACAUCAACAUGGAGGAUACAGUAGAGGACAUGACAUUUUAAUAAUGGAGGGAGACUAAAAUGGAGGUAAAACUGGAUAAAUGCUUUUUCAAAGGUAUUUUUAAAGGAGUUUUGAGGUUAUUUGCUGCUCUGCCACAAGCCACCUUAAAACUGAGUGGCUUAAAGCAACAAAUCAUGUUAUUCUCACAUUGCUAUAGAUCAGAGUAGGCAGGCAUAUGGAACCCACCCCAAAUUACAAAACUAAUAUAUGGAAGGGUUGAAACCCAAACCUAUGCAGCCUGGUUCCUGAAACUUGAGUGUUCAGCCCCUGGAGGUACAGGGUGACACCAAAUAACACAGUAAAGGAGGAAAAGUAAAAAACACGUGCACAGG
ensembl:lncRNA